UACGUAGGGUGCGAGCGUUAAUCGGAAUUACUGGGCGUAAAGCGUGCGCAGGCGGUUGUGUAAGACAGAUGUGAAAUCCCCGGGCUCAACCUGGGAACUGCAUUUGUGACUGCACAGCUGGAGUGCGGCAGAGGGGGAUGGAAUUCCGCGUGUAGCAGUGAAAUGCGUAGAUAUGCGGAGGAACACCGAUGGCGAAGGGCAAUCCCCUGGGCCUGCACUGACGCUCAUGCACGAAAGGCGUGGGGAGCAAACAGG
rnacentral:rRNA from 1 species